rnacentral:lncRNA from 1 species
AGAGACAGGAACCUGGACAUCUAUCAGUGCUUUCUUUCUUGCCUCAGAUAUAUUCUAUAUGGGAUCAGUGACACCGUCUUAUCCCAAGUGGUUAUGUGCGGUGAUCUCUACUUUGUUUGCCACUUAAUUCGAGAUCACAACGCUUAUAGUCGUUUCUUAUGGGACUCGCUGAUAUAUAUGAGCCGGUUCUAGCAUCUCUCCUUCAUCUCAUCCCUCUUCCUACAUUGGAGCAGGCUAUCCUGAGGUGUUAUCUGAAAGACUCGUCUUGGCCUGUCCUCGACUUCCCAUGUGGCCACUGCUUUUGCUACUCCUGGUUCAAGAGGACGUUGGCUCCUCUGGGGUCUCGCAGUUUUUCAGGCUCUGGUUCUCAAUCUCUGGUGGUUCAGCGUCGCCGACCUAAUGAUGCACAUUCUGUCAUGCUACUGACCAUCGCUCUGCUCACUUGUCCUAUUCCGGGUUUGCAAAAUUCUGUCGCCGCCAGCGGACCUGGCCAUUAAGGUCCGACUGUCCCAAUAAUCCUAUCCGUCGAGACACUCGCCCUCAUUCUAACUGCUGCCCACUACUGUGUGUCCUCUACUGCUAUUCCUCCCCGCCUCUCCUACACUGUCCGAUGUCAGUGAUCUUCCUGCUCUUGUUCACAGAUUAUGGAUGUCCACCUCCGGUCAUCCUUCUCUACUGCCUUGUCUGCCUCUACAUGUUAUAUCUUCAUUGGCUUUUUUGACCUCUGGUUGUAGUAACUCAUAUGACAUCUGUUUAUCUUGUGUUCUUCCUCUAAAUCAUAUGAUCUUCAUUUCCUGUUGUUCAUUAACUGCUGAUGGUUCCUCUAGACUGUUGAGCAUGUUGGACAUGUCUCCCCUUCCGCUCUAUCUCUUCCAAUCCUAUACGGUCCGUAACCCGUUCACUUAAUCUAUUUCCUGUUGUCAAUUAUGUGAUCUGGACUUCUGUACUUUUUCUCUUUCCCACUGGUUGUGUUGUGCAGGUCCGCGGACUGGUCAGACUCUUUGAUAGGCCGUAUGCAUGGGCGCCUUUUUCAGCUCAUACAUCUUCACCUUCCUAUUUCUACUGCUAUGCUAACUACUGCUAUGCCCGCCACUUCUACACGUUCUUCGUCACGCAUCCUUCGCAACUUGGCAUUCCUCGUUUAGGUCAUGUGUCGUUGGUCGAUACUUUUCUUGUAUCUAAAGGUGUUUUAGGUUCUACAUUAAUGAACACCUUGAUUUGUCAAUCUGUCAACAUGCUAAGCAACCUGCAUAUCUUUUACUAAAAGCCUUCUGUCUCCUCUGCGCCCUUUGCUUAGUUUCAUUCUGAUAUUUGGGGCCCUUCUCCCACUUCUACUAUGGGGGUUCCCAGUAUUUUGUUUAUUUUGUGGAGAUUUCUCACAUAUACUUGGCUUUACCUUUUAAGAUCGAUCCCAAUUACACAAACUUAUUAUGAUUUGCUCAGCAUGAUGCAAAAUCCAAUUUUCUCCCCGUGUUAUUCAACGUCUUUCCCGCUCCAACAUACUCAAGAAGACUGUGAUACCUCCUUCCUUGCCUUUUUACGGACCCAAGGCACUCUUCCCCACCCCGAUCUUUGUCCUGGUACUUUCCAACAGAAUGGGCGGUCAGCACGUAAACAACCGUCAUUUACUUGAUCCUACUUCGGCUCUACUAAUUUCUUCUAGUUGUCCCAGCGCUUUUAAGGGGGAAAGCGCUCUCAAUACAACCGCUGUCUAUACUAUUAAUCGGUUCCCUCACCCCUCUCUUGGUAAUCUUCACUCCGUACGAGCUCUAUAUGGUACUCCUCCCCGAUUUAUCAUUUCCUCGUGUCUUUUGGUUGUACCUGUUUGUUCUAUUACAACCACAUGAUCGAACUAAAACUAAGCCUAGGUCUCGUCUGUGGUUGCGUCUGGGGUAUGGAAUUGAUGCAUAAGAAGGCUAUCGUUGUUUUGGGUAUCCUUGUCUCGUUGUCUUUCGAGUAUCUCGUCACGUUUUUCUUUUUUGGGAACAUAAGAUAUCGUCUCUCUGUCCUCUUUUUCAGAUGACAUCUUCUUCCAACUCCUUCCUACCUUACUGAUCCGUCCAUUGAUCUUUUCCCUAAAGAGGUUACUGUUGCCUUGCGACCCGCCUGAUGAAUACUUUCCAUGUGGCCCACCCAGCCCUUGUCUAUCCCCGUGAUUCUUCGUCCACUGAUCCUGCACCUCCAGCUCUGCCUCCUUUUCCUCUACCUAGUGUACAUUCCCUUCCGUCGUUCCACUCGGGUAAGGAAGUUCCUUCUUUAUCUUCGCGACUAUCAUUUUUUUCUACUGUCUUAUCCCCAAUAUGAGCCUCGCUCCUAUCGUUGAGUCAAUUACUAUCCCUUGGCAGCAAGCAUGACUGAGGAACUACGGCCUCUUGUAGGACUCACACUUGGGAACCCCGUUGUUUGAUCUUCCUCCUGACAAAUCUAUUAUUUUUGUGUCGCUGGUUUAUAAGAUCAAGACUCGAGAUGAUGUACGGUGGAAGGCGAUACAACUCGUCUGUGUUGCGUAAGGGUUUUUUAACUCAGAGUAUGGUAAUGGACUAUGAGGAGACUUUUGCUCAUGUUGGGCCAGACUUACCUCUGUUCGGAGUCUUGCUUGCUGUUGCUGCUACUCUGGUUGGUCCUUAUGGUCAUAGAUGGAAAUUUAAGAAAUGGUUUUUCUCAAUGGUGAUUGACUGAGGAAAGUUUAUAUGCAGGCUUCCUCCUGGUUCUUCAUCCUAUCCUCCUCUAAUCAGGUAAAUGUCGGCUUCGUCGUGCCGCUUUAUGGUCUUAACAACCUCCGCGUGCUUGGUAUGCCAAGUUUUAGCUCUACCAUCUGUGAUCUUGUGCUUCUCUGCUAGUGCCUUGACUCGGCUCUCUUCUCGGCAGUCUACUCAUAUCAAUUUUUCUCCUUCUUCUCUAAUGGGAUGAUAUGAUUAUUACUAGAGAUGAUGUCAUUGGUAUCUCUGAGUCCAGACUUUCUUCAAUCGUCCCUCUCUGAGAUGAAGAUCUUGGUCCCUUGAGCUCUUUUCUUGUCUUUUCUUGGUCUUGAGGUUUCCUCUGGCUCUCGCUGGAUACUCUCUUACUCAGACCAAGUACUGCCUCCGGAUCUUCUUACCUUGCUGGCCUUUCAGAUUGAAAAGACAGUCUCUACCCCCUCCUGGAUGCCAUGAUUGUCUUAACUCUCUUGAUGGAGACCUGCUAUCUGAUGCACCCCCUAUAUAAUACAGCUCGUCGCAGCCUGAUUACCACCCUGACUGUCCUCGUCCUGACUUGCUCUGCUAUUCAUCUUGUCAUCAGUUUCAUGCUGCACUCCACUCAUUAGGCUGUCCGUACUUCGCUAUCCUUCGGUAUGUUUCAAGGGCAACCCUUUUCAUUCAUGGUCUACAUUUCUCCCGUCAGUCCUACCUUUCAGCUCUAUGCCUAUUCUGAAUGCGAUUGGGCUGGGGAUCCUACCGGAUCGCGUCUACACUGGCUUCUGCUUCCUUCUUAGGCGACUCGCCGCAUCUCUUGGCUUAGUAUAAGGCAGACUCUUGUUGCUCGUAGUCUAGCAUGAGACUGAGUAUCGGUGCUCUUGCUGACACCACAACAGGACUCCUCUGGCUUCGAUGGCUUCUUUAAGACAUGGUGCGUCAUCAUUCUGGGCUACUGUACUUCACUUUGCAAUCGCAGGGCCAUAAAUUGAUUGCCAACAAUGAGGUUUUUCAUGAUCGUACUAACAUAUUGAGAUUGACUGCCAACUUUAUUCGACAGCAUGUGGUUCGCUGGUACUUUCACACCUUCUGCCUCGUUUCUUCUGCCGACCAGACAGCUGAUAUCUUCACUAAAUCUCUCUUACCUGUUCUCUUUUGAGCUCUUGUCACCAAACUCAAGUUGGUCUCUUCCUGCAAAACCUUCUUGAAUUGAGGGGGGUGUUAGUGUAUACUAACCUAGGGUAGAUUGGUCUUUUUAACCUUAACCUAGUUUUGUCUAUAUAUACUCUCUUUCUCUUCCUUUGUAACUUAACAUCUCUCAACAUAUAUCAACAUUUCUUUCUUCUCUUUCUCUCUCUAGACUAUCACCAACAUACAUAUAGUUACCAUUAUUCUAACAUAUUGACAGGAAAAAUUCACUGAGUUUUCUUGCUAGUCUCUUCUUAGACCCACCCAUGUUCAACCCGUGGCCUUUCUCAUUCCGAUUUCUUUACAUAAUGUUAUUCUUAUAUUUAAUUAUCAGCUCAUUUGAAAAAUUAAUAGGCUCUAAUUUACAUUAAAAAAAUAUUUUCAUAUUUCCUAAUCAGAAUGAUUGUGAUUUGUCGGCAAAAAAAGGCAACUUACUUUUUUGAUUAAUAUCUACUUUUAUAAAGGAGAGUGAUUUUCACGAUUCUCAGUUCUUCAAUUGUGCUCCAUAUUUUUUGUAUUUGUUAGAGAGAAUUUACUCAAAUAUUCUUAUAGUGAAAAUGUUAAGUAAAAGAGGUAUUUGGGUAAAUUCACUCUAUUAAAUACAAACAAAGAAGUACAAUUAAAAAAAAAUAGAUCACAAAAAUUAUUAGCCUUUAUAAGUAUCUUCUCUUUCUAGUAAUUAAUUUUCAUGAACAAAAAAUAAAAUAUUUGAGUGAUGCUUUUUGAUCGAAAAUCAUGUGAUCAUCUUUCGUGGCCAUUUUUUAUAAAAAUAAAUUAACUCAUAAUUUUAAAAAUGAAUAAAAGUUUAGAAAAUAAUUAUAUUUACAUAUAAAAAUGUGUACUAACCACAUAUCGUAGUGAGACUCACGUAACGUAAUUGGGCGUGUAAGAGAAUCUCUAAUUCUUCAUAAAUCUAAAUUAAAUGAGAAAAAGAGAUAAAAAUAAAUUUCAAUUUUUUCAUUAAACUUGAAUAAAUUAGAAAAGAACCAAAUGCUUCAUUUAACCAAGGAUGACAAUGGAAGAAAUUGCAUGAAAGUCAAGUGAUACCGCAUUAUUCGAAUGUAAUUGCCAAUGUUAAAAGUUCAUUCACUUUAAGGUUUCACUAUUUCAAUGUAAUGCUACGAAUGCUAUAAGGGAGUC